rnacentral:rRNA from 1 species
GAUGAACGCUAGCGGCAGGCCUAACACAUGCAAGUCGAGGGGUAACUAGAGUGAUAGCAAUAUUACUUUGGCUAGACCGGCGCACGGGUGCGUAACACGUAUGCAACCUACCUUAUACUGGGGAAUAACUUCGAGAAAUCGGCGCUAAUACCCCAUAACAUUGCGAAGAGGCAUCUCUUUGCAAUUAAAGCUCCGGCGGUAUAAGAUGGGCAUGCGUCCAAUUAGCUAGUUGGUGAGGUAACGGCUCACCAAGGCUACGAUUGGUAGGGGUUCUGAGAGGAUGAUCCCCCACACUGGUACUGAGACACGGACCAGACUCCUACGGGAGGCAGCAGUGAGGAAUAUUGCGCAAUGGACGAAAGUCUGACGCAGCCAUGCCGCGUGCAGGAUGACGGCCCUAUGGGUUGUAAACUGCUUUUGUACGGAAUAAACCCUUCUACGUGUAGGAGGCUGAAGGUACCGUAAGAAUAAGCACCGGCUAACUCCGUGCCAGCCGCCGCCGUAAUAC